GCCCGGGUGGUGGAACUGGCAGACGCGAUGGACUCAAAAUCCAUUGUCCUUCGGGACGUGCGGGUUCGAGUCCCGCCCCGGGCA
rnacentral:tRNA from 1 species